rnacentral:rRNA from 1 species
UACAGAGGGGGCAAGCGUUGUUCGGAAUUACUGGGCGUAAAGGGCGCGUAGGCGGCCUUCUAAGUCGAACGUAAAAUCCCCGGGCUCAACCCGGGAACUGCGUCCGAUACUGGAAGGCUUGAAUCCGGGAGAGGGAUGCGGAAUUCCAGGUGUAGCGGUGAAAUGCGUAGAUAUCUGGAGGAACACCGGUGGCGAAGGCGGCAUCCUGGACCGGCAUUGACGCUGAGGCGCGAAAGCCAGGGGAGCAAACGGG